rnacentral:rRNA from 1 species
UCCUAUGGGAGGCAGCAGUGGGGAAUAUUGCGCAAUGGGGGAAACCCUGACGCAGCGACGCCGCGUGCGGGAUGAAGGCCUUCGGGUUGUAAACCGCUUUUGAUUGGGAGCAAGCCUUCGGGUGAGUGUACCUUUCGAAUAAGCGCCGGCUAACUACGUGCCAGCAGCCGCGGUAAUACGUAGGGCGCAAGCGUUAUCCGGAUUUAUUGGGCGUAAAGAGCUUGUAGGCGGUUCGUCGCGUCUGGUGUGAAAGCCCAUCGCUUAACGGUGGGUCUGCGCCGGGUACGGGCGGGCUAGAGUGCAGUAGGGGAAACUGGAAUUCCCGGUGUAACGGUGGAAUGUGUAGAUAUCGGGAAGAACACCAAUGGCGAAGGCAGGUCUCUGGGCUGUUACUGACGCUGAGAAGCGAAAGCGUGGGGAGCGAACAGGAUUAGAUACCCUAGUAGUCC